GUGAUGCUAUCCUGUACUAUAACAGGUAACCACAGUGAUGUGAUGCUAUCCUGUACUAUAACAGGUAACCACAGUGAUGUGUUGGUUAUCCUGUACUAUAACAGGUAACCACAGUGAUGUGAUGCUAUCCUGUACUAUAACAGGUAACCACAGUGAUGUGAUGCUAUCCUGUACUAUAACAGGUAACCACAGUGAUGUGAUGCUAUCCUGUACUAUAACAGGUAACCACAGUGAUGUGAUGCUAUCCUGUACUAUAACAGGUAACCACAGUGAUGUGAUGGUUAUCCUGUACUAUAACAGGUAACCACAGUGAUGUGAUGCUAUCCUGUACUAUAACAGGUAACCACAGUGAUGUGAUGCUAUCCUGUACUAUAACAGGUAACCACAGUGAUGUGAUGCUAUCCUGUACUAUAACAGGUAACCACAGUGAUGUGAUGGCUAUCCU